rnacentral:rRNA from 1 species
UGAGGAAUAUUGGUCAAUGGGCGAGAGCCUGAACCAGCCAAGUAGCGUGCAGGAUGACGGCCCUAUGGGUUGUAAACUGCUUUUAUAUGGGAAUAAAGUGAGGGACGUGUCCCUUAUUGCAUGUACCAUACGAAUAAGGACCGGCUAAUUCCGUGCCAGCAGCCGCGGUAAUACGGAAGGUUCGGGCGUUAUCAGGAUUUAUUGGGUUUAAAGGGAGCGUAGGCCGUUUGGUAAGCGUGUUGUGAAAUGUAGGAGCUCAACUUCUAGAUUGCAGCGCGAACUGUCAGACUUGAGUGCGCACAACGUAGGCGGAAUUCAUGGUGUAGCGGUGAAAUGCUUAGAUAUCAUGAAGAACUCCGAUUGCGAAGGCAGCUUACGGGAGCGCAACUGACGCUGAAGCUCGAAGGUGCGGGUAUCGAACAGG